AAGCCCCCUUCCUCGUACCUUCGUCUUCCUCAAGUUCUCUUAUGUUACUCCGCCAUCGAACCGCCGCCAGAUAUCGUCUCCGCCGACGGAAAUCGUCUCCGCCGACGGCGGAGCUCUAAUCUACCCCAAAACUCUACCAUAUACUCCUCGCCUUAACCCCGUCCCAUUCCCACCAUUGAUUUAUUCCAAAACCCAGCCAACGCUCCGGAAAUUCCAAUAUGAGAAUGGGUGAAAAACCCUAAUCCGCCCCAAACUUUGCAAAAUUUCUACCAAGGGUUCCUCGGAUCUCCUCCACCAUAAAUCUGUGCUUAAACCCCUCAAAACUCUCUGAAAUUCAUCGAAUUGGAAGGGAUAGGGUUCGCCAGUUUUGAAUUUGUUUUGAAGAUUUGAAGUUGAAUCGACUUCCCUAUUAAUGUUAUUUGCUUAUGAUAGUUUGAAUGGAAAAUAACAUUAACGGGGUGUCGAUUCCGUUGCGAGUUGUCCCGGGCAGAUUUUAGGGUGAGUUCCCUUUCAAGUUUUAGUUUGUUUAUUUUUUUUGCUUCCCUUGUUGCAUUUCUGGCAAUCAAUCGAAUAAGCAAUUAUCGACUUAGCUAGUUUCGUAUUUUUCUAUUUUCCAACCUUGUGUUUCUAAUUUGAGGCUUGAUUGUUAAAAUCUAAGUCAUCUCUUUCUUUCUGCUCAUAAUUAUUAUUAGUUAAGCUUUAUUUCUGUUAGUUUAGAUUACUCUUCAGUUUUGAUUUUGAUUUUUCUAAAUCUUGUGUUUAGUAUUGUCCCUAUUUGUUCACUAGAUAUUAGGUCGUCUUGAAUGAUGGUUGAUUUUUCUGCUAAGUUAGUGUGUUUGUUUAAUUUUGCUUUGUUUUAGCUUUGUUAUUCUGAUUGGUCGUCUUCUUCAAAGCUAUUUCCGAUCUUUUAGUUAGUUAGUUUAGUUUCUAAUAAGUUUAGUGUUGAUUAAUUGCAAUCCUUAAGCUCAUUUCAGAUAAUUUCAGCUUCUUAAUGUUACUUUAAAAUUUCAGUUAGUAAUUUCUCUUUAGGUGUUAGUACUAAUCCCUGUCAAUAUUAAUUAGUUCUUUGUAAAUAGAUAAAUUGGUUAUAGUUGAAGAAGCCAGUUUUUAGUGUAACUAUAGUUUGAAUUCUAACUAAGGGUUAAAGGGUUGGGUCAGUUGGCAUUAGCUGUAAUUUUGGGGCUGUUAGAAGGGUAGUUUAGACAGAGAAAGUGGCAGAAUCUUAAAAACAGUAAUUUUAAAACUGGGGAAGGGUAAUUUAGGGAUUGCUUAACCAAAAAAGCAUCCUAGAUGCUUCUAGAAUAGGGUAAUUACUCUAUUAGAAGGGUAGUGUAGACAUAGAAAGUGGCAGAAUCUUAAAAAACAGUAAUUUUAAAACAAGGGAAGUGUAACUUAGAAAUUGUAUAACCAAAAGAGCAUACUAUGUGCUUCUAGAAUAGGGUAAGAGUGUAGCUUUCAGCUUGUUAGUAGUACUUGCUUAGGUAGCAAGUUAGAAAUGGUGGGACCAAACUGAAAAUAAGUAGGGACUGAUAUUGCAAACUAAAAAUCUGAAGGUUGCCCUCACUCUUGCAUAUAUAAAGGCAUCAAUUGCCUUGUGAAAGGGUCUUGAAUUUUCCAGCUCAAAAAGUCCACAAGAAAUCUAAUUUUUCUUUCAUUUUAGCUUCAGAUUGGUUUCAAUAUUUAAAUACACAAAAAAUACCAAAAAAUGCAUAUAGGAAAUAGAAAACAACAAAAAUAGUCACUGUUUCAUUGAUUGUGAGCAACUUCUGGUUUCUCUGUUGGUUUUCUGUUUAUAAUUUGGUCUGGGAAUUGUUGCGGACUAGUUUGGAGUUUGUUUCUGCUGGGUUAUAGUUAUUACAAGGGUAUUUUCUGGGUUAUCUACUGAUUUCCAAAAUGUUCUACGUUAAAUCUUGCAUAUGAAGGCUGUUGUGUUUCUUGUUGCUGUGGUUUUUGGUAAUUUUAAUUGUUGUUGACCUUCCUCUGCUCCUCUAUUCUAUUGUAAUUCAGGUACACAUUCGGAAUCGACUUCAUGAAACCCCUUUGUGAAAUGAAAGUGUCAUUGGCUGUUUGACUCUCCUUGAAGCAUCCACUGUCCCGUUGAGUAACUGCAGUUACUAAUUUUCUUGUUCAGUUUGUUUGAAGCAGGAUAAAUAGAUUUGUGUUAACUUUGAAUUGUGUGAGACCUAGGUUGUUUGAAUUUGUUUUAAUUUUGUAAUGAAUGGACUGUUAAGCCUUCUGAUCCUUAACUGUUUCUUUGAAUUUUGAGUGUUAAAUAUGGGCAAAUACAUGGUAAUGAUCCAGAUUAAGCUUCAAGUGGUUUCAACAGGCCAUGUUCAUAACUGUGUGUGAAAGAUAGCUAAAUGAUUAGUUAGGCCUCAAAUUGCAGUAGUUUUUCAUUUUGAAGCAUAACUCGACAGCUCUUUGAGUAUUGAUGAAUUCGUUUUUUAGAAUAUAG
rnacentral:lncRNA from 1 species